CGGGGGGGGCAAGCGUUGUUCGGAAUUACUGGGCGUAAAGGGCUCGUAGGUGGCCAACUAAGUCAUACGUGAAAUCCCUCAGCUUAACUGGGGAACUGCGUCUGAUACUGGAUGGCUUGAGUUUGGGAGAGGGAUGCGGAAUUCCAGGUGUAGCGGUGAAAUGCGUAGAUAUCUGGAGGAACACCGGUGGCGAAGGCGGCAUCCUGGACCAAUACUGACACUGAGGAGCGAAAGCCAGGGGAGCAAACGGGAUUAGAUACCCCGGUAGUCCUGGCCCUAAACGAUGAAUGCUUGGUGUGGCGGGUAUCGAUCCCUGCCGUGCCGAAGCUAACGCAUUAAGCAUUCCGCCUGGGGAGUACGGUCGCAAGGCUG
rnacentral:rRNA from 1 species